GGGUCAGUAGGUUGGUCGUGCCACCGGUACGUACUGGCCUCACUGAUUCCUCCUUCCUGAAGAACCGUAAUGCCAUUAAUUUGGUGUUGCGGGGAAACAGGACUGUUACUUUGAAAAGAUUAGAGUGUUUAAAGCAAGCUAACGCUUGAAUACAUUAGCAUGGAAUAAUGAAAUAGGACGAUCGAUCCUAUUUUGUUGGUUUCUAGGAUUGACGUA
rnacentral:rRNA from 1 species